rnacentral:rRNA from 1 species
UACAGAGGUCCCGAGCGUUGUUCGGAUUCACUGGGCGUAAAGGGUGCGUAGGCGGUCGGGUAAGUCUGAUGUGAAAUCUCACAGCUUAACUGUGAAACUGCAUUGGAUACUAUUCGGCUUGAGAGUUGGAGGGGGGACUGGAAUUCUCGGUGUAGCAGUGAAAUGCGUAGAUAUCGUAAGGAAGACCAGUGGCGAAGGCGAAUCUCUGGACAGUUACUGACACUGAGGCACGAAGGCCAGGGGAGCAAACGGG